UACGUAGGGUCCGAGCGUUGUCCGGAAUUAUUGGGCGUAAAGAGCUCGUAGGCGGUUUGUCGCGUCUGCUGUGAAAAUCCCGAGGCUCAACCUCGGGUCUGCAGUGGGUACGGGCAGACUGGAGUGCGGUAGGGGGAGAAUGGAAUUCCUGGUGUAGCGGUGGAAUGCGCAGAUAAUCAGGAGGAACACCGGUGGCGAAGGCGGGUCUCUGGGCAGUAACUGACGCUGAGGAGCGAAAGCGUGGGGAGCGAACAGG
rnacentral:rRNA from 1 species